rnacentral:misc_RNA from 1 species
GAUGAAGAACGCAGCGAAAUGCGAUAAGUAAUGUGAAUUGCAGAAUUCCAGUGAAUCAUCGAAUCUUUGAACGCACAUUGCGCCCGCCAGUAUUCUGGCGGGCAUGCCUGUUCGAGCGUCAUUACAACCCUCAGGCCCCCGGGCCUGGCGUUGGGGAUCGGCGGAAGCCCCCUGCGGGCACAACGCCGUCCCCCAAAUACAGUGGCGGUCCCGCCGCAGCUUCCAUUGCGUAGUAGCUAACACCUCGCAACUGGAGAGCGGCGCGGCCACGCCGUAAAACACCCAACUUCUGAAUGUUGACCUCGAAUCAGGUAGGAAUACCCGCUGAACUUAAGCAUAUCAAUAAGCGGAGGA